rnacentral:rRNA from 1 species
GACGAACGCUGGCGGCGUGCUUAACACAUGCAAGUCGAACGGAAAGGCCCCAGCUUGCUGGGGUACUCGAGUGGCGAACGGGUGAGUAACACGUGGGUGAUCUGCCCUGCACUCUGGGAUAAGCCUGGGAAACUGGGUCUAAUACCGGAUAGGACCGUGCUUUAGUGUGUGCGGUGGAAAGUUUUUCGGUGCAGGAUGAGCCCGCGGCCUAUCAGCUUGUUGGUGGGGUAAUGGCCUACCAAGGCGGCGACGGGUAGCCGGCCUGAGAGGGUGUACGGCCACAUUGGGACUGAGACACGGCCCAGACUCCUACGGGAGGCAGCAGUGGGGAAUAUUGCACAAUGGGCGCAUGCCUGAUGCAGCGACGCCGCGUGGGGGAUGACGGCCUUCGGGUUGUAAACCCCUUUCGGCAGGGACGAAGCUUUUGUGACGGUACCUGCAUAAGAAGCACCGGCUAACUACGUG